UAAGGAAUAUUGCUCAAUGGGAGAAAUCCUGAAGCAGCAACGCCGCGUGGAGGAUGAAGGGUCUAUGACUUGUAAACUCCUGUAAAGAAGGAAAAAAUUCCCAUUAGAUGGGAGAUGAUGGUACUUCUGGAGUAAGCCCCGGCUAACUACGUGCCAGCAGCCGCGGUAAUACGUAGGGGGCAAGCGUUGUCCGGAUUUACUGGGUGUAAAGGGUGCUCAGGCGGAUUUGUAAGUCAGAGGUGAAAUCUUACAGCUUAACUGUGAAACUGCCUCUGAUACUGCAAGCCUAGAGUAUGGAAGAGAGUGAUGGAAUAUCUGGUGUAGCAGUGAAAUGCGUAGAUAUCAGAUAGAACACCAAUGGCGAAGGCAGUCACUUGGUCCAUUACUGACGCUAAAGCACGAAAGCGUGGGUAGCAAACA
rnacentral:rRNA from 1 species